UACGGAGGAUGCGAGCGUUAUCCGGAUUUAUUGGGUUUAAAGGGUGCGUAGGCGGAUCGUUAAGUCGGUGGUCAAAUUGAGGGGCUCAACCCCUUCCCGCCAUUGAAACUGGCGAUCUUGAGUGGAAGAGAAGUAUGCGGAAUGCGUGGUGUAGCGGUGAAAUGCAUAAAUAUCACGCAGAACCCCGAUUGCGAAGGCAGCAUGCCGGCUUCCUACUGACGCUGAAGCACGAAAGCGUGGGGAUCGAACAGG
rnacentral:rRNA from 1 species